GGGCGUGUAGCUCAGUGGUAGAGCGCCCGCUUUGCAUUCUUGAAUCCAGGAACCUGCGGGAGGUCCAGGUUUCAAUCACCUGCCCGUCCA
rnacentral:tRNA from 1 species